AAGCCCCGGCACCCUUUACGGGUGCUGCUGCAAAUUUGCACUUUGCUCCUUCAGGGCC
rnacentral:tRNA from 1 species